GUAUUUUACUCAUAUUAUGGUAAAUUUAUUUGAAAGUGUUUGCUGUGAGUUUUGACAGAUUCCUAACGUCAAUCCUCAAUGAUCAUUGAUUUGUUUUCGUCGUUGCUUGCUCAAUUGCUUUCGUCGUUCGGUCCGGUCUGUUCGCAAAAAAAAGUGAAAAUCGACGAUUGUGGAAAAAUUUGCGUCUCAUUCCGGGAAGUACCGGUGGAAUCUGUGUUAUUGUUACGUUUCGGUAACACUUCAGGAAUUUCUUAGGGAGAAUUCUUCUGAAAGUCCUCCAUGAAAUCCAUCGUAGUCCUCCGGGAAAUCCAAUGAGAAGUCCUCCAUGAAAUUCUGCGGGAAGUCCUCCAGGAAAUUCUUCGCGAUGUCCUUCAAGAAAUUCUGCGUGAAGCCCAUCGUGAAGUCCUACAAGAAAUCCUUCGGGUUAAAUGCUAAUUUCACCAGGGAUUGAGAUCAACGGAGAAAAUUUAAUGUACCUGUUCGACCAGGAGAAUGCUUACGAGAUGACGAGAGAAACAUAACAUUCGUUUCGGCUUUUGGUUAAGGAGAAACUGAAAUACCGUAAAAGGGUCCCCAGAAUGAAGAGCGCAGCAGCGAGUUUUAACAGUAAGUCAAAGCCUGCCGCUGCCACUGCGCUAACCAUGCUGGAUGGACCGGAACCUCACCGAAGUUGCAACAGCUUAGAACGCCGAUAUCCGAGGAGCAGCAAAGAUGUUUGCGAACGCAAAUCUAUGGGCAGCCCGCAAGCUGUCGUGUCGUUCGGGAGUGAAAUAUACGAUGCCGGAUGCCUGAAAUUAAUCAACGAACAAUCCACCUCUACGUUGGCUGGGUCUUACGUACACAGCAAGGAGAAGAAUAAAAAACCCUUGGCAGUGGGCUCUGGUCAACCACUACAAGCAAGCAGGCCCUAUCAAAGCGACCGUGUGUCGCUCAAAGCGCACAGCAACCGCAUAGCACAGUCGUCAGUCGUGCGAGUUAUUAUUCAUCGAAGCUUGCACAGGACUUCACAGGACGCCUCUGGAAAAAGGAGCAUCACAAGGAAUGCUCGUUGGAUGCUUUGCCGAUACGGCCACGGUUAGGAUUCGCUUUGCCUGUUAAGGACAGGAGAUCUCCCUCGUAUUUCUGAUGGAACCGGAGACCAAGCUGUUCUCUGCUAACCUUUUUGAAGCCACAAGCAAACCUCCAAACCUAGGUAGUACUCCAAGUUACUUAGCCGUUUGUCAGCUGCAGUUCUUCCAACGAGGUUGACGGUUGAGAUGAAUCUUGUGCACAACCGUGAUCCGAUCGGCGUCUCCAUUAAAAAUAUGUUCUUGCCGUUGGUCAAGCUUAUUGACAGACUAUCGAACGCUAUCUACAUUUCUUGCGCUUCUGUGUUUGGGUCAACGAUGAAAGCGUUGAGGAGAACGCCAAUCUUGUCAUUCGUCUGUUGAUCCGACGUACGGAAUGCUUCGGUCCUGCGCUUCGUGGUGAAGGUUUGAUGAAGGCUAUCAACGAAGCCAACAAGAUGUCCGAAAAGAUUUCAAGGCGUAGGAAGAAGCAGGAUGAGGCAGAAGAUACGAUCACUGGUCUAGGCUUCUCGCAUCCUCUUUCAGAGAGAUAGACGACGACAAAGAUUACAUGGAUACCAGAGCUGUCGUUCUGUGCUUCUAUUGAACACUGGUGGAUACGUUGUGCACCGGAUGCAUCGGUGAUCAAACAAGGCAAAAACGAAUCAUUGCGAGCUCUGCCAUUCUACGCUCCUUGGUACCGUCGGAAGAUUUUUGAGUAGUUCUGGUUUUGUUAACAUUGACUAACACGGCGAAGGAAGGCCAAAGUCCGACAAAGUCCGCGGUUCCAAAUGGCUCCAGUGAAGCCGGUGGACCCCUUCCAAACAAUUCAAACAACAAUGACGUCGGCGUGCGUACACCCGCUUUCAAUGAUUCCUGCGAUCGACGCUUCUGGACGGACCCGAAGGGUGAAUUCGAGAGCAAUGUUGUAAAUACAGAGCCCUAACUGAUGGGUAAAAACGCAGCCGGUGCGACCAGACUUCCAUAGCAAUCUCCAGUUCACAUUAAUCUGCCAACGUUUCCAACACUGCCGUAAUAAUAAAUUACCUUAAUUAUUACGAAUACAUAUUUUAGGAUCACUUAAAAACGAACUUUUGAUAGGAAGUCCGGAAAUCCAUUAUACAUCAAUCGACUCAGCUCGAAAAAUUAAUUGAUUGGUGUACUGCCCUUCUACGCAUAGUUGUCCCAUGUUAGUUUUUGUGGAUUUUGACUUUUCACCAUAGAGCAGUCUAUUUUGAUGUAUACUUUUAGAAAACUUUAACAGAUUUCGAACUUUGUUCGGAAAAUCAUUGAAAACAACAUCAAGUCUAUUCGUCCCAUUGCUUACAUUCUACGCAUAAAUGUCUCGCGGUGAUUAAAUUCAUCAUUAUGGCGGAUUCUGUUAUUUUAUGCAGCAACGCACAUUGAACUAUCAUUUUCUGUUUAGAUCUUGCAAUCUUAGCCUGUUGCACUGGUUUAAUGGGGACAAUUUGUACAAUACUCAUUC